rnacentral:tRNA from 1 species
GCCUGGGUGGCUCAGCAGUUGAGCGUCUGCCUUUCGCUAAGGGCAUGAUCCAGAAGUCGUAGGAUUGAGUCCCACAUCAGGCU